rnacentral:misc_RNA from 1 species
UCUGUCAAUUUCCAUAAAAAUUAUUUUCGUGAUUUGCGAUUACUGAUUGAUUAGCAUGUAAAUCGGAAAUCGGAAUAGAAGUCUUUUAAAGAUUAGGUAUUGCAAAUACUUGUUUAAUUGAUCUUAUUGAUUUCAUCAAUACUAAAACUCGAGACAAUGUCUAAUCACGAAGAAAUCACUGCACCAAGCACCCAAGAAGAUAUCGAAGCGGCAGACAAAUUGAAAAACGAAGCAAAUGAAUAUUUUAAAAAGCAAAAUUAUGAUAAGGCGAUCGAGUUGUACAGUCAGGCCAUCGAGAAGAAUCCUAACAGCGCUGUUUUGUACGCGAACAGGAGUAUAGCAAAUCUUCGAUUAGAGAACUUCGGUUAUGCUUUAGGUGAUGCCUCCAAAGCCAUAGCUUUGGACAAAGGCUACACCAAGGCUUAUUACAGACGUGCCGCUGCGCAUAUGUCUUUGGGAAAGUACAAACUGGCGCUUACGGAUUUUGAAUAUGUAACUACAGUAAGACCAUACGAUCAAGAUGCAAAACUCAAGUACAGUGAAUGCAAUAAGAUAGUUAAGAAGAUCGCCUUCGAAAAAGCCAUCUCAGUGGACAAAAAAGAAGUUAACAUUGCUGACAGUAUUAAUUUGGAUUCAAUGACCAUUGAAGAUGAGUACGAAGGGCCAAUGCUUGAAGAUGGAAAAGUUACUUUGAAUUUCGUCAAAGAGCUAAUGGAAUACUAUAAACAGCAGAAGAAACUUCACAAGAAAUAUGCCUACAAGAUCCUGCUAGAUGUGAAGACAUACCUUCAGAACCAGCCAUCUCUUGUUGACAUCAAAGUCCCAGACGACAAGAAGUUCACCGUGUGUGGUGACAUCCAUGGCCAGUUCUAUGACUUAAUGAAUAUAUUUAAAUUGAAUGGACUUCCAUCGGAUGAAAACCCGUACCUGUUCAAUGGAGAUUUUGUGGACCGAGGAUCAUUCAGCGUGGAAUGUAUCUUCACUUUGUUCAGCUAUAAGUUGCUGUAUCCGGAUCACUUUUACAUGUCUAGAGGUAAUCAUGAGACACUGGACAUGAAUCGGGUGUACGGUUUCCGUGGGGAGGUGACAUCAAAGUAUACCUCACAAAUGGCCGAUCUAUUCACCGAGGUCUACAACUGGCUACCCUUAGCUCACUGUAUAAACGGUCGAGUGCUUGUAAUGCAUGGGGGGUUGUUCUCAAAAGAUGACGUCACACUCGAAGACAUCAAGAACGUGGACCGAAACAAACAGCCGCCUGAAGAUGGUAUAAUGUGCGAGCUCCUCUGGUCUGACCCUCAACCGAUGCAAGGACGUUCCCAGUCCAAGCGCGGCGUCGGCUGCCAGUUCGGUCCGGACGUGACCCACAACUUCCUGCAGAGGAACAAGCUCGACUACAUCAUCCGCAGUCACGAAGUCAAGAACGACGGCUACGAGGUCGCCCACGACGGAAAGUGCAUCACAGUCUUCUCGGCUCCCAACUACUGCGAUACAAUGGGCAAUCUAGGCGCUUUCAUCACUAUGAAUGGAAAGGAUCUUGUGCCUCACUUCACUACAUACGAAGCAGUGCCCCAUCCGGACGUGAAGCCGAUGGCGUACGCGAAUUCCAUCUUCAAUUUCCUCUGCCAAUGAUCGAAACCAGCUCACGUACGGGUCUAAGCUCGACUUAAAGCACUCCUCCGAAACGUUACCGUGACCCAUUUUCGUUUCAUCGGGUUCCAAUUAACAACGGUGCUAAAGAAGUUUUUACUUUAGAAAUGUAUUGAUAAUGGUAUUCAAUUAAAUUGCAAUAUUAUGUUUCUUUUGAGACAUUAGUGAAUAGAAAUAGUAAAAAAAAAUAAUUAAGCAUUAAUGUUUUAUUUUACGUGGCCU